rnacentral:rRNA from 1 species
GACGAACGCUGGCGGCGUGCUUAACACAUGCAAGUCGAACGGAAAGGCCCUGCUUUUGUGGGGUGCUCGAGUGGCGAACGGGUGAGUAACACGUGAAUAACCUGCCCUUGACUUUGGGAUAACUUCAGGAAACUGGGGCUAAUACCGGAUAGGAGCUCCUGCUGCAUGGUGGGGGUUGGAAAGUUUCGGCGGUUGGGGAUGGACUCGCGGCUUAUCAGCUUGUUGGUGGGGUAGUGGCUUACCAAGGCUUUGACGGGUAGCCGGCCUGAGAGGGUGACCGGCCACAUUGGGACUGAGAUACGGCCCAGACUCCUACGGGAGGCAGCAGUGGGGAAUAUUGCACAAUGGGCGGAAGCCUGAUGCAGCAACGCCGCGUGCGGGAUGACGGCCUUCGGGUUGUAAACCGCUUCCGCCUGUGACGAAGCGUGAGUGACGGUAAUGGGUAAAGAAGCACCGGCUAACUACGUGCCAGCAGCCGCGGUGAUACGUAGGGUGCGAGCGUUGUCCGGAUUUAUUGGGCGUAAAGGGCUCGUAGGUGGUUGAUCGCGUCGGAAGUGUAAUCUUGGGGCUUAACCCUGAGCGUGCUUUCGAUACGGGUUGACUUGAGGAAGGUAGGGGAGAAUGGAAUUCCUGGUGGAGCGGUGGAAUGCGCAGAUAUCAGGAGGAACACCAGUGGCGAAGGCGGUUCUCUGGGCCUUUCCUGACGCUGAGGAGCGAAAGCGUGGGGAGCGAACAGGCUUAGAUACCCUGGUAGUCCACGCUGUAAACGGUGGGUACUAGGUGUGGGGUCCAUUCCACGGGUUCCGUGCCGUAGCUAACGCUUUAAGUACCCCGCCUGGGGAGUACGGCCGCAAGGCUAAAACUCAAAGGAAUUGACGGGGCCCCGCACAAGCGGCGGAGCAUGCGGAUUAAUUCGAUGCAACGCGUAGAACCUUACCUGGGUUUGACAUGGAUCGGGAGUGCUCAGAGAUGGGUGUGCCUCUUUUGGGGUCGGUUCACAGGUGGUGCAUGCCUGUCGUCAGCUCGUGUCGUGAGAUGUUGGGUUAAGUCCCGCAACGAGCGCAACCCUUGUUCACUGUUGCCUGCACGUUAUGGUGGGGACUCAGUGGAGACCGCCGGGGUCAACUCGGAGGAAGGUGGGGAUGACGUCAAGUCAUCAUGCCCCUUAUGUCCAGGGCUUCACGCAUGCUACAAUGGCUGGUACAGAGAGUGGCGAGCCUGUGAGGGUGAGCGAAUCUCGGAAAGCCGGUCUCAGUUCGGAUUGGGGUCUGCAACUCGACCUCAUGAAGUCGGAGUCGCUAGUAAUCGCAGAUCAGCAACGCUGCGGUGAAUACGUUCCCGGG